UGAGUGUAUCUUGGAUUACACGAAUUGUGUCACAUACAUCCUGACAUGCUACAGUGAUGUUUUGACCAAGGGUGACUAAUUGACCUAUCCUUCAUGGGAGACACCUGAUCCAGAACUUUGCCUUAGAGAGAACUGUGAGCUCUGACCCUGCCUCCACUCUCUACCUCUUCAGUUGUGUCUGAAAGAGAGGUGAUUUUGGCUCUCCUGGCGAGGAGUGGAGCUCCGACUGAAAGAGCAAAAGGGACAUGUAUUUCAAAGGAAGCCUCCUCACUUCU
rnacentral:lncRNA from 1 species